rnacentral:rRNA from 1 species
CAGUCGUACCUUCGGGUAAUCAGCCUUUCGAGUGCGAUUCUGUGGAGUGUGAGGAGCUAAACACCUUCAUGCCUGCAUAUUCGUGCUCUUGGGUGUACUUGUCCGUGUGGUGGGUUAACAUCAAUUUCGGUCGUCAUAAAAUGAUUGGAGGAAUGUAGCUUUGAUCUCGUAUCGAAGUGUUAUAGACUCUGGUAGAUGUGACGAUUGGGAUUGAGGAUUGCAACGGAUACCCUUCGGGGCUACCUGUCUGGUCUCUGAUCGUUGCUCCGGUGCCGAAGCGUGCUUACGGUCA